rnacentral:rRNA from 1 species
AACGAACGCUGGCGGCAUGCCUAACACAUGCAAGUCGAACGAGACCUUCGGGUCUAGUGGCGCACGGGUGCGUAACGCGUGGGAACCUGCCUUUAGGUUCGGAAUAACUCAGAGAAAUUUGAGCUAAUACCGGAUGAUGUCUUCGGACCAAGGAUUUAUCGCCUUUAGAUGGGCCCGCGUUGGAUUAGCUAGUUGGUGGGGUAAAGGCCUACCAAGGCGACGAUCCAUAGCUGGUCUGAGAGGAUGAUCAGCCACACUGGGACUGAGACACGGCCCAGACUCCUACGGGAGGGAGCAGUGGGGAAUAUUGGACAAUGGGCGAAAGCCUGACCCAGCAAUGCCGCGUGAGUGAUGAAGGCCUUAGGGUUGUAAAGCUCUUUUACCCGAGAUGAUAAUGACAGUAUCGGGAGAAUAAGCUCCGGCUAACUCCGUG